GGGUCCUUAGCUCAGUGGUAGAGCA
rnacentral:siRNA from 1 species